AUUUCAAGUCUAGAGGGAGGAAAAUAACCUGGAGGAUAGGCACUGCGCUCCAGGAAACCCUCCUCAUUUCAGUGUAAGAGCAGCAUGUUGCGCAGUUCUGAAAGUCUUGAACGUUUAUAGCUGCUGUGCAUGCAAAGUUUUUUCCUGGCUGAAGUUGAAUCUUAUCCUAUGGUUGUCAGGUUGUGCAAGCAAUAUAUUGAUCCAGGACAACAACUAUCCCACAAUAGGACAAGAAGAUCUGGACCAAUCGCUCAACAUUGCCAGCAAUUGGAUGUUUUAUUGAUACUGGACAGAAUGUCAACAUAUUUCACUUUGUGGGUGUUUUUUGGCAUACUGUCCCCCUUUCUGCUGGCUGAAGGGGCAGCUCAUUGUUCAGAGAGGGAAGGGUUGGUGAAACUGCUGCCCAAGAGACCCUUAUCAAACUGUUUGACCGAGUGCACUCAGAUGACCUACCAUAGGAAACUUCAACUUGAGGACAACCAUAACAUACAGCUCUCAUAUUGCACAGAAGGAGACCCCGGGGAAUACUGUUGGUCUACGCAGCUCAAGUGCAACAUUGGAGAAAGCUUUGUGCAGGCCUACAUGGUGUUGCCUGUGGAUGUAUCUGUAGCUGGACAUGAGAUGCUGGAAGUGAGAGCCACUGUCCCCUCUGCCACCACACUGCUCAGACACAACAGCCCCACCACAAUCGCAGACGACUGUGGCCUCCAAUACGACGUGGCGCCACAAUUCAGUACCGAGAACACGGGGAACUCUUUCUGCAUACAGGUUGUUUCCCCGGUUGAUUCCCCGGUUGUUUCCCCGGUUGAUUUUCUCAAAUGUCCUCCUUUUCUGGUCACCUUCUGGGAGAGAAAACCAAAUCAGAUCAACCAAGGAGGUGAUGGAUUGCACUGUACAAAUACUCAGCCCUGCAUUGAGCAUGUUACUUAAGUAAAAGUGCGUAGGUAUAGUAACUAAAAUGUACUUCCGGUAUUACAAUUUGAUAUCAUUGUAUUGUUAUCAUCUCAUUCAUUAAUGUGUAACCAUCACUUUAGUAAUUUUUAGAUUUUGAGCAAUUUUAUUUAAGGCUGCAACUGUUGAUUAUUUUCAUUAUGGAUGAACCCUUAUGUUGUGUUUGGGUCUCCGGUGACCCGUAUCAAGGUACAAUUAUAUAAUAACUACGCUCUAGUUUUUUUAUCGGAACGAGGCUUCAUGAUUUCAAACCUUUAUUUAAGGUGGUCCCAUUGAGAUCAUCGAUCUCUUUUUCAAGGGAGACCUGCAGAUGAUAUCCUCCACAACAGCUAUAUAAACACUACAAAACAGAUUUUGACAAUUUUAGCCAAGUCUGAAGGUCUCUUAAAAAAAAAAAGUGUAUAAUUUGGUGUUCAGGUCUGGGAAGACACAGCAGAAUUGUUGUGGGUGACUCUGGGGAAAAUUUGGCCCAAUCAAGAUUAAUCUUUGACUUUAGACACCCCAACCCCACCCCCUUCAUCCACUGUAACAAUAAUUAUUUCACAACAUGCACCUGGUUGCCCAUCCCUCCCAUCCAUGGGAACUCAACCUUUCACAAAGAAUAUGUACACAAACACUUGAACCUGAACACACACAUGCACAUGUACAAUAUGUGGUGUGUUUUGGGGCCAUAAAAUAAAAUUACAACAGGAUUGUACGGUUAUGAAUGCAUUAUAAGUUAGUUAUGAUGUAGUUAAAACAAUAUUGGAUGAGAGUCAUUAUUUUUGAGUGUUUUUCUGAGGUAAAUCAUGGGUCAAAAUUGACCCGCGAACACCAUGAACGGUAACAGCUUUCGAACACAACACAAGGGUUAAGCUCAUGAUUAUUUUCUAUGUUCAUUGAUUGAUCGUUUGGUUUUACAAGUCCAAACCUCACAACUAUUGGACAAAGGCAUAAAGCAAAGCAAGCUUUUUUGUGUGUUAAAUGACAGACAACCAACAAAGUUGUUUCCAAUUAAUCUGUUGUAAAUUGUUUUAGAUAUAUUUUAGAUGUCAUAUAUAUAUUGUAUAAGAUCUUAUUAUGUUUUGUAUGCAAACAUCUUUAUUUGUAAAAUAACUAGUAACUAGUAGGUGUCAAAUAAUUUUAUAGGACUAAUAAGUACAAUAUUUCCCUCUGAAAUGUAGUUGAGUGGAAGUAAAAGGAUAAUUAAAUGAACAGUCCAAGUAUCUAAAUUGUGUGCUUGAGUACUGUAGUUGAAACAACGCUUGACGCAACUCCCCACACGUUUUGUAUGAUAUUGUUAAAGCUUGAUUUAUGUGACUUUAAACUUUUAGUUUCGUUGUGAAGGUAUUUGAUGGCAUUUGACCAUAGAAGAGCAUGUAGAUCACUCUAAAUGUGUGAAUCCAUCUUUGUUAAGCAAUAAUAGAGACUUUUGAAGAUCUGAAAAGAUAUCAUUGGUCCAGAGUGAUGCAAAAGAUGUGAAUGGUUGUAAGUGUUUAUGGCAAUAUUAAAAACAAUUUAUUUUUA